GGUUAAGCGACUAAGCGUACACGGUGGAUGCCCUGGCAGUCAGAGGCGAUGAAGGACGUGCUAAUCUGCGAUAAGCGUCGGUAAGGUGAUAUGAACCGUUAUAACCGGCGAUUUCCGAAUGGGGAAACCCAGUGUGUUUCGACACACUAUCAUUAACUGAAUCCAUAGGUUAAUGAGGCGAACCGGGGGAACUGAAACAUCUAAGUACCCCGAGGAAAAGAAAUCAACCGAGAUUCCCCCAGUAGCGGCGAGCGAACGGGGAGCAGCCCAGAGCCUGAAUCAGUGUGUGUGUUAGUGGAAGCGUCUGGAAAGGCGCGCGAUACAGGGUGACAGCCCCGUACACAAAAAUGCACAU
rnacentral:rRNA from 1 species